AGAUCAUCAUUCUUUAUGACCUGCUAUGCAUAUCCAAAUAAAAGCACUAAGUACACAUCUUACUGUGGUUAAAAGCAAGAUGAAUUAAGCUCAAACUGCCAGAUUCAAAGGCCACAAGCAAGUAGAAAGAUCAACACAAACAAAUGUGUAUGCAAGUUUUGCAUGUGUACCACAGAAGCCAAAUUCCUUCUUUCUGUGCGCAAGUGUGUGUGUGUGUGUGUGU
rnacentral:misc_RNA from 1 species